rnacentral:rRNA from 1 species
UUGCUCUGAUUGCUAUUGCACCACAUGUGUUUUUCUUUGAAACAAACUUGCUUUGGCGGUGGGCCCAGCCUGCCGCCAGAGGUCUAAACUUACAACCAAUUUUUUAUCAACUUGUCACACCAGAUUAUUACUUAAUAGUCAAAACUUUCAACAACGGAUCUCUUGGUUCUCGCAUCGAUGAAGAACGCAGCGAAAUGCGAUACGUAAUAUGAAUUGCAGAUAUUCGUGAAUCAUCGAAUCUUUGAACGCACAUUGCGCCCUCUGGUAUUCCGGAGGGCAUGCCUGUUUGAGCGUCGUUUCUCCCUCAAACCGCUGGGUUUGGUGUUGAGCAAUACGACUUGGGUUUGCUUGAAAGACGGUAGUGGUAAGGCGGGAUCGCUUUGACAAUGGCUUAGGUCUAACCAAAAACAUUGCUUGCGGCGGUAACGUCUACCACGUAUAUCUUCAAACUUUGACCUCAAAUCAGGUAGGACUACCCGCUGAACUUAAGCAUAUCAAAAGCGGGGAGGAA